UAUGUGAUGCACUUAGUGUUUGUCCAAUCUGUUCAUAAGUUGUUUGAGUGUGUGAAAUGUGGUUUAUCACAGCUACACUUUUUAUCUUCAUAUUUCAAAGGUAUGUUUUGUGCUGUGUUGUUUUUAGCUGUAAAAUUUUUGUCCUAAAUCCAGUAUCUAAUUUUCCAGCAACAGUGCCUGACAGCCUCCAAGUUUGUGGCUCAUCUCAUCAACCAGAAUGUGGCCCAUGAAGUGUUGUGUUUGGAGAUGCUCACUCUGCUGCUGGAGCGUCCAACUGAUGACAGUGUGGAGGUCGCCAUCUCCUUCUUAAAGGAGUGUGGACUCAAACUAACAGAGGUCUCCCCCCGAGGAAUCAAUGGUACACUGCAGCAACAGCCUUUCAGCCUGUAUUCAACCAUACAUGUCAACUCUUUUGAUUGUUUACCUGUAACAUGACCCUUUACAGAAA